ensembl:lncRNA
CCCACAGGGCUCUCGCCAGGGCUCCAGCCCUGCUUCCUCUCCCCAUGGGCCGCAUUUCCUGUCUACGACCACCAGCGUGCUGGCCCCGCAGAGACGGAGCUGCUGUUUGGCUCCCAUGAACGCCUCCCCAGCGGGCAGGUGCUCCAGAAAGGCCUACGGGCCUGCCGAGUGAACGAGCGAGGGAAGUAGUGACGGGCGUGGAAAAUCUGAGGAGUGUGGGCUUCCAAAGCUUAUCUCCUCAGGCAUCCAUCUUCAGACCUGAUCAUCAUCCGCCUCUCACCGCUGCACAGACGGGGGGACUCACCGCAAUCUGGGGCGUGACGACCUUGUGAUGUGUCAUCUCUAAAGGGGAAGAGGUUUCUACUUGAAAGAGAAAUAAAAGCAGGCAGCCUUUAUGUGGGACACUCACCCGAAGCACACAGGGCCCGGCCACUUCCCUCAGGCCUUCUCCAUCUGGACCCUUCGCCCACCACCCUGCCGGAGGGGAUGCCAAAGCAUCCUGCCGGAUGGAGCUCCUUGCUCCUACGGGACACACGGAUGCUCUGGCCAGCGGACAAACACCCCUCGAGGGAAUGUUUGGAACCUCACACUGGGCUAUGCUGAAGAUGCAUUUGUAUUUAUUCCCGGCUGCGCUGGGCCUCCGCGGCAGCCUGGAGCUUUCUCUGGCUGCAGUGAGCAGGCGCUCCCGGCUAACGGCCGCGUGCGGGCUUCUCAUCGCUGGUUUCUCUCCUCGCAGAGCGUGGGCUCCAGGCACGUGGCCUUCAGCAGGUGCGGCUCCUGGAGUAGUUGUGGCUCACAGACUAGCUCUUCCCAGACCGGGGAUUGAACCUGUGUUUCCUACCUUCGCAGGUGAAUUCUUUCCCACCGGGCCACCAGGGAAGCCCAGGCUACAUGACCCAUGCUUUUGCAUUGCCUUUUAAGCCUGAAAUUUUCCCCUGGUCAAACUAUCAAAGACUACAAGCCUAGGACGUGAGAGAAGGUAAACUUAAUUAACAAGAGCACUCCACCUCUGAAUCAUCUUACUAAGUGGGUUUUUACCUCAAACAACUUUGGCUGAAUAAAGGUCGAUGGACAAGGACACCUACACUGUGACUGCUAUUACAUAAUUGAACACAUGCUUAGCGUAUAAAUAAUUUCUAAAACCACAGAGGCCAAACCACAGUGGAAAAUUCAGCUACUCUGGAGAGAAAUAGCAAAAUUAUCUUCUGCAAAGUUUCCUAUUCAGUAACCUCAGAACUGGAGCAGGGAAAAUGUUCUGGAAGCCAGCAGCUUAGGAGACUAACGUGUCCACCCCACAGCAGUCGAGGACAUUUCUUCCUGGGAAGCUUCCGUGGCCAGUUGAUCCAGAAACGUCAGUCACCAAUAGAAAAGAGAACUCUAAGUGGUGGUCACAGCCGACACAUGAACCCCAGCUGACCAUCCAUCCGCUCCCGAGGCCAGAGGCCAGCGGCACAGUGAGCACAGCUCUUGCACCGCAGGGAGCACUGGCCCUACGCGGUCACCGCCCCCCGACGUCCAGCCCUCCCUGCCCUCUCCCUCUCCUCUUCACACCUUCUCCUGACCCGCCUCUCUUUCCACUUUCUCCCUCGUCUCCCCCCCCGCUCCCCUGCUCCCCGCUUACUUGACCAUAAUGAAUCAACUGGAUAUGUAUUUCUCUGUUCUUAGAAAGUUGGCCAUUUUACAGACUUUUAAAU